CCUGGCUCAGAUUGAACGCUAGCGGCAUGCUUAACACAUGCAAGUCGAACGGCAGCAUGUCAGAAUCCUCGGAUCCUGAUGAUGGCGAGUGGCGGACGGGUGAGUAACACGUAGGAAUCUACCUUAAAGAGGGGGAUAGUCCAGGGAAACCUGGUUUAAUACCGCAUAAUCUCUAAGGAGCAAAGCUGGGGACCUUUGGGCCUGGCGCUUUAAGAUGAGCCUGCGUCAGAUUAGCUUGUUGGUGGGGUAAUGGCCUACCAAGGCGAUGAUCUGUAGCUGGUCUGAGAGGAUGAUCAGCCACACUGGGACUGAGACACGGCCCAGACUCCUACGGGAAGGCAGCAAGUGGGGGGAAUUUUUCCACAAUUGGGGGCGAAACUCUGAUGCAGCGAUGCCGCGUGAGUGAAGAAGGCCCUUGGGUUGUAAAGCUCUUUCGAUCGCGGGAUGCAGCAAUUCCGCGUGUGUGAUGAAGGCCUUAGGGUUGUAAAGCACUUUCAAUAGGGAAGAAGAAUAUUGCAUUAAUACUGUGGUAUUUUGACGUUACCUAUAAAAGAAGCACCGGCUAACUCUGUGCCAGCAGCCGCGGUAAUACAGAGGGUGCAAGCGUUAAUCGGAAUUAUUGGGCGUAAAGCGCUCGUAGGUGGAAAUUUAAGUCAAAUGUAAAAGCCCUGGGCUCAACCUGGGAACCGCAUUUGAUACUGGGUUUCUUGAGUAUGGUAGAGGGAAGUGGAAUUUCCGGUGUAGCGGUGAAAUGCAUAGAUAUCGGAAGGAACAUCAAUGGCGAAGGCAACUUCCUGGGCCAAUACUGACACUGAGGAGCGAAAGCAUGGGUAGCAAACAGGAUUAGAUACCCUGGUAGUCCAUGCUGUAAACGAUGAGAACUAGAUGUCGGAGAUUUAUCUUCGGUAUCGCAGCUAACGCAUUAAGUUCUCCGCCUGGGGAGUACGACCGCAAGGUUAAAACUCAAAGGAAUUGACGGGGGCCCGCACAAGCGGUGGAACAUGUGGUUUAAUUCGAGGAUACGCGAAAAACCUUACCUACCCUUGACAUCCCUGGAAUUAUCUAGCAGUAGAUAAGUGCUUUCGAGAACCAGGAGACAGGUGUUGCAUGGCUGUCGUCAGCUCGUGUCUUGAGAUGUUGGGUUAAGUCCCGUAACGAGCGCAACCCUCGUCCUUAGUUGCCAGCACGUCAUGGUGGGGACUCUAAGGAGACUGCCGGUGAUAAAUCGGAGGAAGGUGAGGAUGAGGUCAAGUCAUCAUGGCCCUUAUGGGUAGGGCUACACACGUGUUACAAUGGACAGUACAAUGGGAAGCAAAGCCGCGAGGUGGAGCAAAACCUUUAAAGCUGUUCUCAGUCCGGAUUGGAGUCUGCAACUCGACUUCAUGAAGUCGGAAUCGCUAGUAAUCGUGAAUCAGCAUGUCACGGUGAAUACGUUCUCGGGCCUUGUACACACCGCCCGUCAAACCAUGGGAGUAGGUUGCACCAGAAGUGGGUAGACUAACCGCAAGGAGGUCGCUUACCACGGUGUGAUUUAUGACUAGGGUUAAGUCGAAACAAGGUAGCCG
rnacentral:rRNA from 1 species